CAACGUUUCUACAUUGCUGAGUGCAUGACUGUGCAAGAUAUCUCUGCUCACGACUGUUUGCACAGAGUGAAAAGCAUAAAUUAUUGCUAGAGAUAUAGAUUGCAGUAGCUUUAGGAUCUUUUAUAAGGUAAUCACACAAUAGUGGUAUUUCAAGAUAUACUUGAUAAAUAUCAUCAAAUCCUGAUAUGGCUACGUUAUCAUUGAAUUUUAUCCGCCUAAUGAAACGAGUAACUUCAAUCUAACUCAUAACUCUACAUGUGCUACAUCGCGGAGAAUGAUCGAGAACGAUGCAACGUAUACUACGAGACGUUACGCGGCGCGCAAGGUAGAGGCGUCGACAGAACGGGCAGGAAACAAGCAGGAAAUUAUUACUAUUGUACAAUUACUAUUAAAUGCAGAGGUUGAUUCUCUCCAUGCGCCGCUACGCGUACUCUUCUGGCCGCCGCGCACGAAAGAUCACCACGGUAAACGCUCUGGCGAGUACGUACGUCGAGUCUCCGGGCGUGUGCGCGCACGCACUUACUCGACGAACGUCAGCAGGCAACAAAAAACGGAUGGAUGCAUUCCCGUUUAAAGAGCAACCUCGCGUUGCUGUGGCGCGCAUCAUUAUCCUCUAAACGUGACUAUACCAACAAAGUCGAGCGUGUCACGCGCGCGCGCGCACACACACACACACAAUGCACAGACGCACUUAGCAGACUCUCUCUGAUAGGGAUCUUCGCGAAUACAGAUAUAUAUGUGACACGUCAAUUUCUUUCGCGGAAUAUCGCUCUAUAUCUUCUUUGUUGCGAAGCUGAAUUUGAGGAAAUCGCGAGGCGGAAAAGGAGAACAAGCACGGCCGUGUUACGAUGUAACGCAUCGUGACGACGACCAUCACCACCGUCACCGUCGUCGUCGUCGUUGGCGAUGGUGGUGGCGCGAACGCGGAACACGUUCUCGUGGAGCGCUCACAGGUGCCCCUUUUUGCGUUCGAAGUGUGCGAGUGAGACGUCCGCGUUCCACGGAUCACAGCACGACACGGUUACCGCACCGGGACUCUCGAGUACCACGAUCUCGUAGCGUCUAUGUAACGCGGACGAACGACGACGAAGACGACGGCGAUCACAAUGACGACGACGACCGUGACUACAAUGACGAUUACGAUGACGGCUACAACGACGAAGACAACGAGACACAAGUACGGCUACGACAACGUGGCAUUCUGGUACUCACCUUACGUGUCACUCGAAAAAUUUCAAAACGCGGAACUCUCGAAACGAUCGGAGAGAACGGGGCGGCGAAAUAACAUAAGACACUUAUGACAAGUCCAUUCACAGGCACUGACGAAUUAGUAGUUCUUACGGGGCAAGAUGGCGCUCGAAAAUACUUCCCUCUCCCGACCCUCCGUUCCGCCCAUCGCGCCCGCGCCGUUCGCGCACGAGCAUUGUGCGGCGCGCGCUUCGUAGCGACAUUUUGUCGCUUUCUAAUUGCUUUUAAAUACACCCACGAGAAGUUCUAAAAAGAACUCCGCCAUCGUAAUUACGAUAUUUAUCUUUCGCCACAAAUCACACUUCUCUUUCGUCCAACAAUUGCAAAUAUUUGCGUAGCGAAGUUUUUCAAAACGUGCGUACAUUGAGAUGUCAUACAUUUUUUAUAAGUAACUUGUGAUCACACAGAAGCACUUUCAUAUAGCACAAAUCGCUAAAAGAUUUCUUAAAGAAUUUCAAAAAUAUUCUGUAGGACUUGGGAACUCUUUAAGAAGUCUUUUAAAGAUUUGUGGGUUUGUGUAUCAUGUAAAAUGUAUCGAAUAAAAAUGGAUAAGUUUUGUUCUUAGCUAUACCUUUUUAAACUUUCUACAGUUAAAACGUUAAUAAUAAUUAUACGACUGCACUUCGUAUAGUGAGAGAGGACAAUUUUAAUUAUUCAUAUAUUUUCUUAUUUACAUUAUUUUAUUCAUAAUUACGUUUACAGUCGACUAGAUUGAUCUCAUAAAUAUUAAGUUUUACUACAAUUUAACCUUAUCGGCGACUUCACCGUUAUGAAGUAAAUGUAGUCAUCUCAUACAUUUCUUAAUUAAAUCUUUAGUUGCAUUUUGUGUAAUAAUAUACAAUGUUUACAGAUAGUACAGUAAAAUUCUUAGUUAAGGCACAAUAAAGCAAAAUUGCACUCAAAAUGUCGCAAUAGCAACAUUCUGACAGCAAUGUUACUCCUGUAGAUAAAUCUAAAUUGCACUGAACAAUACAUGUAGAAA